rnacentral:rRNA from 1 species
AAUAUCCUACGGGGGGCAGCAGUGGGGGAUAUUGCACAAUGGGCGAAAGCCUGAUGCAGCGACGCCGCGUGAGGGAAGACGGUCUUCGGAUUGUAAACCUCUGUCUUUGGGGAAGAAAAUGACGGUACCCAAAGAGGAAGCUCCGGCUAACCACGUGCCAGCAGCCGCGGUAAUACGUAGGGAGCAAGCGUUGUCCGGAAUUACUGGGUGUAAAGGGAGCGUAGGCGGGAUGGCAAGUAGAAUGUUAAAUCAAUCGGCUCA